UAACCAUAACGUACUCUCUCUCUCUCUCUCUCUCUCUCUCUCUCGGUUUAGGGUUUAAAAUUUUCGUAAGACGAAGUUAGGGUUUGGAAUUCCUUACAAGUGAGAGCAAUUCCUUUCGCAUCCAUCGGCCGAAUAAGGAGAAGAGAGGAGGAAGGUGUUCAAACGAAGAACGGAAUUUAAGGUUUCAGAUUGAUUGAAGGCCGGUUGCUUCUGAAGAGGUCAAACCAAUUGGUCGGUUGUCUAGGCUAACCACAGAGGAAGAGUUGGCAUGGAUUCGGAGGCGGCCGCCGGCGGAGAACCGGCGGCGAGGUGGGGGAUCUGGUGGCCGGGCAGAAGUACUUUGAGUGCCACAUGCACGGUGGCCGGAACGGUUCAAGAAAGCCUGUGGAAAUUGUUGACCUUCUCUCUUGUCCCUAAAAUUUCUUUUGGUUUAGGGACUCUUUUAUCAGCACAGCUGAAGGAAAGGUUAUGCUGGCUUAUUGUAUUCACUGUACUCUCUGACCAGGAUAAAGAGGUCACUGUGAAUAUGGUUAAGUCACUCAAUCAGAGUGGUCGAGCCUGCUGUGUUCUCUCUGCCAGUGAUCCAGGUUCUUCUGUUGAUUUGUGACCAGAUAGUUCCUUUGGCGCCGUUACCUUAAGAUACGAGGCAUGA